rnacentral:rRNA from 1 species
GACGAACCGUGCAAACGUUGUUCGGAAUCACUGGGCUUAAAGGGCGCGUAGGCGGGUGCACAAGUCAGGGGUGAAAGCCCACGGCUCAACCGUGGAAGAGCCUUUGAUACUGUGUGUCUUGAGGGAGGUAGGGGCGUGCGGAACUUCCGGUGGAGCGGUGAAAUGCGUAGAUAUCGGAAGGAACACCGGUGGCGAAAGCGGCGCGCUGGACCUCUUCUGACGCUGAGGCGCGAAAGCCAGGGGAGCAAACGGG